ACUGAAUAUUACAAUUGUACACCUUUUGAAAUGGUUUUUAAUAUUCGACCAAAAGGGAAUUUAUUUUGAAUUUGAUAUUCGAUGUGUCAAAUUAGUACAAUUUGCUCAAAGAACUUUCAAAUUUAGACAAAAAGCGUACAGCUAAAUCGCGUAUAUCGAGUAUGGCGUAUAUCGGGGAAUACCUUUAUAGCCACCAGAGGAAGGUGCUGCUUCGCGUUCAUAUGAAAAAGUGGUAUUGUAAAAUCAAGUUUGUAAGCAGAAGGACGCGUCGAUGCAUGCUCGUUUUUUCUCUCGUGAAACCAGUACGGAAAAAACUAUUUGCAAAUCGUAACACACGCACAAACGGAAGUGAGCACGGACCACGAUAGAAAUAAUUAAUUGGUUGCAGUGCCAAAAACAAAAGGACAGGAGAGGUAGGAAUGAUCAUUCAACGCGUUAGCGCCGGACGAAGGAGAAGCGACAGGAAGGCAGGAACGAUCCUCCAACGUGCUAGCGCCUGGUAGAGGAGAGGCGGCAGGAAGGUAGGGACGAUUAUCCAGCACGCUAGCGCAGCAUCUGGGAACAGCGAGGAGGAGGCAAGCGGGAUGAAUUUUUAACGCGUGCACACCAUUCGACGAAGACAACGCUGGAUGAAAGGAAGAACGAGGAGAGAAGGCAGGCAAGACGGGUACGUGUGUAUCCCGCAACGGGUUUUCGGCAGUGUGAAAUGUGAGUAUUGAAAAGUGUAUGUGUGGGUAGAGGUAAAGAGGUAAAAUAAAGAGCGAA